rnacentral:rRNA from 1 species
AUGAACGCUGGCGGCGUGCUUAACACAUGCAAGUCGUGCGCGAAGGCGGCUUCGGCUGCCGGAGAGCGGCGAACGGGUGAGUAACACGUGGGUAAUCUACCUGGGAGUGGGGGAUAACCUGGGGAAACUCGGGCUAAGACCGCAUACGAUGCUGGGACUUCGGUCCUGUUCUGAAAGCUGGCCUCUGCUUGCAAGCUAGCGCUCCCAGAGGAGCCCCGCGGCUGAUUAGCUGGUUGGUGGGGUAAUGGCCUACCAAGGCGACGAUCAGUAGCCGGCCUGAGAGGGUGAUCGGCCACACUGGAACUGAGACACGGUCCAGACUCCUACGGGAGGCAGCAGUGGGGAAUAUUGGACAAUGGGCGCAAGCCUGAUCCAGCAACGCCGCGUGGAGGACGAAGGUCUUCGGAUCGUAAACUCCUGUCAGGUGGGACGAAGGUUUGGGGUGAUAGCUCUCAAGCUUGACGGUACUACCAGAGGAA